rnacentral:rRNA from 1 species
GAUGAACGCUGGCGGCGUGCCUAAUACAUGCAAGUCGAGCGAACAGACGAGGAGCUUACUCCUCUGACGUUAGCGGCGGACGUGUGAGUAGCACGUGGAUAACCUACCUAUAAGACUGGGAUAACUUCGGGAAACCGGAUCUAAUACCGGAUAACAUGUUGAACCGCAUGGUUCAACAGUGAAAGACGGUCUUUCUGUCACUUAUAGAUGGAUCCGCGUCGCAUUAGCUAGUUGGUAAGGUAACGGCUUACCAAGGCAACGAUGCGUAGCCGACCUGAGAGGGUGAUCGGCCACACUGGAACUGAGACACGGUCCAGACUCCUACGGGAGGCAGCAGUAGGGAAUAUUCCGCAAUGGGCGAAAGCCUGACGGAGCAAAGCCGCGUGAGUGAAGAAGGUCUUCGGAUCGUAAAACUCUGUUAUUAGGGAAGAACAAAUGUGUAAGUAAAUAUGCACGUCUUGACGGUACCUAAUCAGAAAGCCACGGCUAACUACGUG